UUUGGAUUUUGGUUCCCAAAAACUUGCAAAACUUCCUGCCUUGCACGUUCUUGCCAUUCAGGAUACCUGCCUAAUAACACCAUUGUCCAAACCAGCAAACUUGAAGUGGUCUCUUGCCCUGCCAAGUAAAACAAUUUGCAUUCAUCGAUCACUUCUUGAGUGGUCAUUCCAAUACUCUUACUAUUUCCAUGUCCUUGAUUUUCGGCAUGAUUUGAUUGCAAAAGCAUGCCUAGUAAAUCGUCAUUGGUGGUUUCACCGUUCCUCAGUUCUUUUUCACGUUUUCUAAUGAUUCCCUCAAGUAAAUCACGGAUGUCUCUUUCAAUUUCUUUCAUCAUCCUCUCGUUAGUUGUUGGUAAAGGCCUGAAAAAUACAUAUAUCCAGUGUUGUUAAUUGUGAGGAAAGGCACUUGAUUAAUGUCAUAGUAUAAUAAGUGCAACAUGGUUCAAUUAAUUGCGUACUUUGAAUUACGUCUAACAACAUGUAGAAGCUUUCUAACUUGCUUCUGGUUAUGUACAAUUAAACUUGAAACAUAUUUAACAACUUUAUAUGUUAUUUUGUACCAUAAUGGAGUGUUCGUUUGUAGUUCUUUCAUCAAAAGAACUCCCUGCUUCUUCAAAAGUUGAAAUAGUUUUGUUCCUUCUGCGUAGCUGCUUCCAAAUGCUGUCCGAGAAAUUACAUCACACGUCAAAUUCUGAAGGAAAGGCCAAACAUCAAUCUCACAUGUUCCAUCUGAUGACAAUAAACCAUUCCAUUUGCUUAUCAUUUCAUUGCAACUGUGAGAAAAUGCAGGCAGCAUACCCUAUAGUAUGAAGUAAAUCAUAUAAUAAGAAGAAAAGUUAGAAAUUCAAUUUGCAAAAUUGAAAUAAUUAGCUAAGUAAUAACCUUACUUUCAAUUUUUCUAUAUGGAAUGCCGGAUUGACUAUCUUUCGAUGUGUAGCCCAUUUCUCACCCUCAUGGUGUACUAUACCAACACUCAAAUACAAGGCAAUGGGUCUUAACUUUUGUUUGGGGAAGUCCUCAGUCUUGUUAAAGACAUCCUUAAUUUGAUCAGGGUCUGUGAUGAUAACCCUUGGUAUUGUACCUUCCCAUAAAAAGGAAUUAUUUCCUGCAUAUCCUUUAUGUUAGAACAGCAAACCCAAUUCUAAAGUGAACAGAUAAAUAAACGCACAUGAAUACAAUGAUUGAUUACGGAGUUCGGCCAAUUGUGCCUACAUCCCUGAAACCAGAGUAGUGGUUGUAAUUUUUUAUUAUGCAAUCUCUUCAUUAAAAACUCUCGUUAUCCGACAAGACAAGCGUUUAGUUUUAAAAAACUCUUGUGAUACGACAAGCGUGUAGUUUAUAUUAUCUCUGACUAUCCUCAGUCUGAUCAUUUCUCAUUACUAUAAAAUCUACAUUUCUUCUCUCUACACACCAAAACCACCUAAACCCAUUUUUCACGAUCUUUUCUACUAUAGGUGCUGCCCACCCCAACUCUAUCUCUAAUUUUUCAUUUCUAAUCUUAUCUCAUAUCUUCUUAUCACACAUCCAACACAACUUCUUCAUAUCUACUACACUGAUUUUAUUCUUAUGCCAGUUCUUCACCACCUAACACUCUAUUCCAUACAGCAUCGUCAGUCUUAUAUCUAUGCGAUAAAAGUUUCCCUUCAACUUGAGUGGUACUUUCGUAUCACAUAAAACACUGAGGCUGUUGUAAUCAAAAUUUCAAGACUUUUAUGAUUUUCCUUUUAGUUAAGGAUCUAGACAUAUAUUCUACCGACCAUGAUUUGAGAUGUGUUAUCAUGAUUUUUGACAUCUCUACGACUUCAAUUGAACCCGUAGUAAACUUCCAUCGAGUGCAACAUCGAUGGCCAUGUCUACUUACGGAUUUGAUUAAGUUAUAAAUGGAGGACAACUCAUUGUUUUAUUUUUAACUCUCUUGUUCUCGAGAAAAUGCAACUCUGGUAAAUCGGAGUUCGACUAAUAUAUAGGUAAGUAAUACUUGUCUUUUGGAUUGAGUUAGAACAAAGCCCAAGUUUAGAGUCUAUCCUAAGGAAGCAAAUUUCCCCACCUCCCACAUUUCUAAAAAUUCACAUAUGUUUAUGAAAGCAUACUUCCAAACAAUAUAUUUUGUCCUAAAGUGUACUUUGGUUAAAUAAACAAAAUAGAAAGAUGUACGUACCAUAUUUAUGAAGAGUUUGAUGAAAAGGUGAGAAGAUAGAUGGAGCAGCUUCUUUGGAGAGACCAAUGAAUUUAGACUUAUCUUCGUGUUGCAACCUCAACAUAUAGUUUUGUUUUGAGUUGUCUACAAAGAAUGGAAGCUUAUAUGGUUCACCUUGAAGACCUUGAGCUUUGAGAAGUUUUUCAAACCUCUUUGGCUUAAGCCAAAAAUUGUUGAAGAGAUGCCAUGGAAUCACAGCAAGUAGAACUGUUAGAACAAAGAUGAUUAUUGUUGUUGUUGUGGGAAACACAAACACCUCCAUUUUAGUCAGCUUUGAUAUUGAAACACAUACAAAUAUUAGACUUGCACCGUUUAUGGCAUUUAUACGGUAAACAAUGUUUUUUUUAAGGAACGUUAAACAUUGUUUUGUUUUGCCACUUUUAAAAAUAUUAUAUAUAUUAAUAUAGAGUAAGACUUUUAAAAACAUAUAUAUUUCAUUAAUCACUCUGAUUACAUACAUUAACCACAAUAAUGCAAGUAACUACCUAUUUAUUUAUUUUACAUAGUUUAGAAAAAACUGAUAAAAAUAUAUAGAUUUUGUUUAUUAUAAGACGUGUUAGCUUGUGUAAGUACCACGCUACAUUUGAGUACCACGCUACAUGCGAGUACCACGCUACUAAGAUACUGUAAUUAGCUUUGCUCAUGUCGUCAUGCCUAUUUUGAAGAUCCUUUCCAUUCUCAGACAAAUGAGAUUUUACUCCUUCCAUCUCAUCUCAUACUAAUAAUUAACAUUUAACAUAGUUCAACUUUUCUACUUAACAUAAAAAAUAGUUCAAUUUUACAUAUGUCGAUAUACAUAUGACUAGGGAUGCGGAAAAAAAACUACGAGCCGAACCAUCCAACCUAACCAUCGAAUUGACCGAACCAUUAUAAUAGUUCGUGAACCGUAUAAUUAAUUUAAUAACAGUUAAUAAACCAUAACCGAACCGUUUUAAAUUCCAAACCGAACCAUUAGCAAAGCACAAACUUAAUAUUUUAAUAGUGAAGAUUUAUUUUCUCUUUUAUCAUGCAUUAUCAUUGAAAGUUGUUGAUGUUUUUGUUGAUAUUCCUAUAAUACAACUUGUAAAAUCACAAGAAAUUAAUAAAAAGUCUUGAUACUUUUUUGGAGGAUAAAAAUUCUUAACACUUGUGGCACAAUUCCAAUUUAUGAAAAAGAAUAAAAAAACAAUUUGGUUCGCAAAAGGAUAAGAAAAUACAUUUUUAUUCAAAAUAUUAUUUUAGGUUCGGUUCAAGGACAACAAAAUGGUUAACCGAACAAUAAUUUUAGUUUGGUUCGAUUCCUCGCAAAACUCAAAUGGUUCGGUUCAAUUUUUCAAACCGUUAACACGGUUUUCUUCAAAAACCGAACCAUACCCACCCCUACAUACAACUUUGACUUAUUUUGUGUGUUAAUCCCCAACUCUUAAGGGGAAAGGGGCUUACUAAUUUGAAGUUUGGUUGAAUGAAAAUGAAAUUUUGUAAAGAAUUCUUUCAUUUAUGUAUCAAAUCCAAAUUCUCUUGAACAUGCAACUUUGAAUGUUUAAUUAUUAUUAAUUAGCAAGAAAUAUAGAAAAAUGUAAUUUUGAAAAUAGUUAUUGAAACAAAUCAAACAUCCAAUAUAUAUUAACGUUUGUCUUUAUAUUUUUGUAAAAUUAAGAAUGUAUUUAUAUGUUAAUAAAAAAAAAUUGUCAAACUAGAUUAUGAGAACAUUGCACAUGAUUAAAUCGUGUCAAUUAAUUUGAGACAUAGAGUAAUAUUUAUAUGUUCUCAUAAGAGCACAAAAAGUUAUUUAUGUAAGAUUUAUUCUCAAGUUUUCUUAAACAAUUAUGUUAAUUACAGUUUUGGUUCCCUUAUUUUCAUUUGCUCACGGAAUUAGUACUUCUAUUUUAAAACCAUUCAGUUUUGGUCUAUCUUUCAAUUUUUUUUUAACUAAAUGGUGACAUGUUAUAUUUAUAUUGAAGCUUUUUUUUUUUUUUUUUUCUGUCUAGUAGCCUAGUGGUUAGAGCUCACACAAUUAAAUGUGGAGAAGUGGGGUGUCCGAGGUUUGAACCCCGGUCCCUGUAUAAAUUAUGCAAUGUCCCUACCAACUGAGUUAAGCUCACGAAGACUUUAUAUUGAAGCUUUUAAGGAGAUCUCAAGUGAUUCCAUGGGUAUUGAUCAUUAUGUGUCGUUAGAGCAUAUGACAUGUAGUUUAAAAUAUAUCACAUCACCAUAUUUUUUAGUCUAAAUAUUAGAGAAAGAGACCAAAAUUAGAUAAUUUUCAAACCAAUUUCGUGAGUAAAAAUAUGGGAGUCAAAAAUGUAAUUAAGUCUAAACUAUUCGAGUUUAAAUGAAACACAUUAGUUUAUUGAGCUUAAUUGCAUGGUUGACUAAUCAUUAUUGAUUUAAUAAAUAUAAGAAAAUAAAAUAUAUUAAUAAAAUGGGAGAUGGGUAACAAGAGUACCAGUUGUACUCCUUAAAAAACAAAAAACAAAAAAAAAAAAGAGUACUAGUUAUUGGGAAAAACCUAAGUUCAACGUCGAAUAGAUAAGACUCUCGAGAAGAGUUUAUAAAGAUGAGGCAAUCAUCACCUUACAAAUCCGGUUUUCUAAGGAUGAGUUAGGUCCCAAAUUUCAACAUGUUAUCAAAGCUUGUCGAAUUCAAGGGCCACCUACCUAUUCACGCACCAAGCCCAAAGACUGUUGGGCGUGAGGUGGGUGUAUUGGGAAAAACUCAAGUCCCACAUCGGAUAGAUAAGACUCUUGAGAAAAAUUUCAAGCCUAGUUGUACUUUAUUUCAUAGGUGGGUUUAGCCACUUGUACUUACCGUUGUACUUUGAUGCUAUCUGGGGCAUUGCAUCUGAGUUAAUCAUUUCACAUUUUUUAUAGUUUUGAUAAAACCGUUUUACUUUGAUUGCUGUACACCAUGGGAUUUUAAGCUUGCAGGCCCUGUCAUUUUAUUUGAUCAUGCAUAGUUUGAUAAUUGAUACAGUGGGAUGUGUUCAAACCAUCUUUGUUGUGGAAGGAUAGAAUAAACUUUUGCCUUGUAACUGUUUUUUCGCCGAAAAACAAAACAGGAUUGCAGCUGGCACAGGACAAAGGCCGAAAGGCAACAGCCAAACUAAAAAUAGAAGAACCCCAAAACUGUCCUCUAAAACAGGCAAACAGCAGACCAACAAAACGCCAACCUGCUGCAGAACCAUAACAGAAAACCCGUUGACAGUAACUGUUAUUCUGCUAUUAUUAUUUUAACACUUUCAUUUUACCUAAAGCUCUCUACAUUUUAUUUUCUAUUGAAACAACAUCAAUAACAAAGAGACAUCACUGCAACAACAUCAAUAACACCAGUGCAACACUAUAGACAGGUUUUGAAUAAAACAGCAAUAUAGACGAUAACACCAACACUAGCAGAAAACGAAAUCAGCAACACAGGGCAAAAUUAUGGAUAUCAGGAAUAGAAAAUAUAUCAAACACUUUUUCUAUAAUCCAACGACGCCAAAAUUGCAACAAACAAAACCAGCAAGCAGCUAUAUCAAAAUGUGACAUCCUCGUCCAGGAAAAAAAAAAACACUAAUCACCUGUCUAUACAAUUUCUUUAAAGAUGGUGAACCAGCUUCGAUCUUAACAGCAAAAAUAAUUAAAGAAAAACUCAACAAUUUCCUUUUUUUCAAUAUAAAGCUUCAGGUUUUUGAACCCUUUAAUGACAACAGUGUCGUGGAACAUGAUCAGUUUUCGGCUACAACUGAAGACCAAACUCAACAUUAAUUCAUAAACAAGCCAACCUUAAUAUUGGAGAAAAAUUGUCCAAAUUCAAAAACUCAUACCUGUGGUUUCUUACAUAAAGCAAUAGUGUCUUAAUUUAAAGAAACUCGUGUUUCCAAAAUCAUCACCUAAAAAAGUUAACCUACUAAGUAACUCCAUUGGAUGUGCUCUUACAGUUUAUGCAAAAUGAUGCUUGCCCCAUUUUUUGGCUGCAAAGUAAGCACCGUGGUAGGAACAUGCACAUAAUUUGGAGAAAGUUCGAAUGAGAAAUUCUGCAGCAACAAUGAUACUGCUAUCUUUGCUUCUAAUAAGGCAAAGUUUUGUCCAAGACAAAUUCUAGGACCCCAUCCAAAAGGGAAAUAAGAAACUUGUCCUUUUGUUGCCUUCGCAAUUCCUUCAGCAAACCUUUCAGGUUUGAACUCCUUUGCAUCAUCACCCCAUAGAUCAUGAUCUUGGUGAAUCAAUAGUAUUGGUAGGGAAAUUUGUGUUCCUUCAGGUAGCAAAAGGUUUCCAAGUUUCAAAUCCUUUCGAAGAGCUCGGUUGAAGUAAAUUAAAGGUGGGAAUAACCUUAGUACCUCGUACAAAAUCAUGGUAACCUACAGAAACAAAAACAAUUAUCAGAUAGUACCAAAAAGGAUUAUGUAUUAAUAAUCAUCAAAAUGAAAUUGUGUGAUUAAAAAUGAUCUUCUUGUGUCAAAUUUUCAUGUGACAUUGUUAAGGGUGAUUAUGUAUCUCGCUCUUUUAACAAUUGAAAUGAUCUACCCUAAUUUCCUUAUUGGAUGAAUUUCCACUACCUAGAUGGGAUUCAAACUUCAUCUCCUACCUAGGUCAACUUAUUUUUUACAAGGUUCAAACCAGAAAACUCAAAUUUGAUAGUACAUCUGCACACAUUCAAUCACUUCUGACCUAGUGCAGCAUCAUUAAGCCAACUCACAAGUGCAAACCCCGCUAUGGUUAUGAUUCACCCCUUUAAUAUCAGUGAAGAGAAAGAUAAAUACAAAACUACAUGUGAUAAGAUCAUUUGAAAUUUGAACAAUACAUACAAUUUUAAGUUGACUUAAUCCUUCGUUGUUAGGAUUUUGGUUCCCAAAAACUUGCAAAACUUCCUCCCUUGCACGUGCUUGCCAUUCAGGAUACCUGCCUAAUAACACCAUUGUCCAAACCAGCAAACUUUAAGUCGUCUCUUGCCCAGCAAGGUAAAACAAUUUGCAUUCAUCUAUCACAUCUUGGGUGGUCAUCCCAAUAUUCUUACUAUUUCCAUGUCCUUGUUUUUCGGCAUGAUUUGAUUGCAAAAGAAUGCCUAAUAAAUCGUCAUUGGUGGUUUCACCAUUCUUCAGUGCUUUUUCUCGUUUUUCAAUGAUUCCCUCAAGUGAAUCAUGGAUUUCUCUAUCAAUUUCUUUCAUCUUCGUCUUGGUAGUUGUUGCUAGAAGCCUAGAAAACACAUUUAUUUACUGAUGUUAAAUGAGAAGGAACGCACUUGGUUAAUAGUAUUAUAUUAUAAUAAAUGCAACGCAAUUCAUUUCAUUAGGUAUUUUGGAUUAAGUCUAACUCAACCAUACAGAUUUGUUGGGUAAAAUGAGUGGUACUCUUCUUUAUAAACUUUUUUCAGACUUUUUUUUCGAAGUCGGACAUGGGAUUUUGUUGAGUGUCUAAAGUUUUCAAAAACUAGAUCUAAAAUAUAACUUGGGAUAGGAAUACACUAAAACAAAAUAUGUAGUUAUAAAUCAAGUUUCUGGCACAUUCAUUAUUUAGACCUCGUGUGUCCCAUGGUUCUUCCGUCUAGCAUGUGAUGUUUCAGACAACGAAGACUACAGACAUGUAGACAUCAUUCACUCACAGGCAUAAUGGCAGGCUAACAACAUAUAGAAGCUUUCAAGUUUAUAUUUUAUUUUGCACUAGAGACUAUUUUCCUUGUCAAUAAAUAAUAAUGCGUAUGUCGUUCCCAAACAAGAAUAUACUUUCAAUUUGUCAAAUGUACCAAAAUGAUAUAUUGUGGUCAUACCCCCAUAAUGGAUUGUUCGUGUGUCGCCCUGUCAUCAAAAGAAAUCCCUGCUUCUUUAGAAGUUGAAAUAGUUUUGUUCCUUCUGCGUAGCUGCUUCCAAAUGCUGUCCGAGAAAUUACAUCACAGGUAAAAUUCUGAAGGGAAGGCCAAACAUCAAUCUCACAUGUUCCAUCUGAUGACAAUAAUCCCUUCCAUUUGCUUAUCAUUUCAUUGCAACUGUGAGAAAAUGCAGGCAGCAUAACCUAUAGUUUGAAGUAAAUCAUAUUAUAAGAAUAAAAAUUAGAAAUUUAAUUUACAAAAUUGCAAGAAUUAAUUAAAGCAAUAACCUUACUUUCAAUUUUUCUAGGUGGAAUGCUGGAUUGGCGAUCUUCCUAUGUUUAGCCCAUUUCUUACCCUCAUGAUCUAGUAUACCAACGUUCAAAUACUUGGCGAUGGAUCUUAGUUUUGGUUUGGGGAAGUCAUCAAUCUUGUUAAAGACAUCCUUAAUUUGAUCAGGGUCUGUGAUGAUAACCCUUGGUAUUGUACCUUCCCAUAAAAAGGAAUUCUUUCCUGCAUAUCCUUUAUGUUAGAACAACAAACCCAACUCUAAAGCAAACAGAUAAAUUAAAGCAUAGGAAUACAAUGCUUGAUUACAAAGUUCUACCAAUUGUGUCUACGUCUCUGAGAGCAAUGUGGCAGUUGUAAUUUUCUAUUGUGCAAUGCUUAAGAUUUACAUAGUACAAGAUGUGUUUAAAUACUUCCCUGCGCUCGUUGCACUUUCAGCUCUUCUGGCUCUGUUAUGCUAGAGCCUCUUCCUACUUAUCAGUGCAUAUAAUUCAUACUUAACACUUCACUUAUCAGUAACUUAUGGAGGACUUGAUAUCAAUUUGUGAUUUAAUAUUAACAUCAAUCAAGUCCGUAUCAUGUUUGGUCCUUGCAUCUGAUAAUAUAAACACAAACUCCUCCAGAACUCCGUUCUUUUCUUUUCAGUUACACAGGCAUAUUAACUAUGGCAUCAAAAAAUCAAAUCUCUAGACAUUUCUGAUUUUCUUGUUAAUAUCAGAUAUUCAAACAAAGUUUUAAAAAGUGUCUGUGACUGUGAUUUGAGUUGCAAUAUCAAAAUUUUGGAUAUUUCUUUGACCACAAUGGAGGCCACAUCAACUACACAUCACCACAAUAUCAAUGAUAGCACAUUGAUUGAGUUAUAAAUGGUGGACAACUUGUUAAGCUAGCUUCUGCACUGAGCUAGGACAACUCCCAAAUUCGAAGUCUAUCCUAAGGGCCGACUUUCUCCACUCCAAGUUUCUAAAAAUCCACAAAUAUUUUUGGAAAUGUACUUCCGGAAAACAUAUUUUGUCCGGCUUUCGAACAAACACAAAAUUCAUGCCUUUUUCCUACUGUAUACGUCUAGGGGUUGUGAAUAGUUCCUUCCUUAUCAUGAAUCUGUUGUCGGGGGUAGGGCUUUUUUUAAAUGACAGAUGUUAGGAUGUUGAUUGUUAGGUUAGUAUGUUCUCCUCAAACCUGACUUUAACUCCUCUUAGCUCAACCAAGUGAGCUACCCAUCCCUCCAAAGGGAGGUAGGGCUUGUUUUUCUUUUAUAAAUUAUACGCAAGCUAUAAAAUAUUGGCUUAAAUGUAUUUUUUACCCUUUAACUUUUAGAUUGGUGUAUAAACAAAAUAGAAAGUAAGAUUAGUAUAUGUACCAUAUUUGUGUACAGUUUGAUGAAUAGGAGUGAAGAUAGACGGUGCAGCUUCUUUGGAGAGACCAAUGGAUUUAGAUUUAUCUUCUUGUUGCAACUUCAACAUAUAAUUUUGUCUUGAUUUAUCCUUAAAUACUGAAAGGUUAUAUGGUUCACCUUGAAAACCUUGAGCUUUGAGAAGUUUCUCAAACCUCUUUGGCUUAAGCCAUAACUUGUUGAGAAGAUACCAUGGAAUCACAGCAAGUAGAACUGACAGAACAGAGAUGAUUAUUGUUGUUCCUGUGGGAAACACAAACACCUCCAUUUUAUGUUUUUGUCUUGGAAUUGGAUUGUGUCUUGUUGUGUUGUGUAAAAAGGUCAUUAAAGAGAUAUCUAAGGUGGUGGGGUCAUUCAAGUUCAACAGGGACACGUACACGUCUUUUCCAUUUUCCAUGUUGAAAAAAUAAGAGAGAGAAAAGAAAGGCUGAUGCCUGAUUGUCUCAAUUUAGUGUCUUAAUUAUAAUUUAUAUUAAUUUGGUCUCCUAUAUUUUUUACUAGUUUUAGUCCUUUAUGGUAGUUUCUCUAUAAAAAAAACGUUAACUUAUGUAUUAAAUUGAUCCCCGUUUUGCUUCGUUUUUAAUUUUAGUCCUUUCUGUUCACUUUUUUUUUGAGAGAAACUAAUGGAAAGUAUUAAAACCAGUAACGGAGCAAAUCAUAGAGGACCAAAUUAAUACAAAUUAUAGUUAGGGGAUCAAAUUGAGAGUGAUUUAACAAGCAAAAAAAACUUACCACUCUAAUAGUAAUAUAUCUAUUAAAAAAAGUGUUCGAUGUAUCUAGUUUACAAUAUUAUUUAUUAAAUAAAUUUACAAAGUUUGUACAUAGAAAAUAGGGUUAAUUAUAGAAAUUGAAUAUAUGUUAAGUUUAAAAAUGAUCUUGUAAAAUAAAAAGUAUAUAUUUUAAUAUUGUAAUUUGAGAUUCUUAUUAUUUUUGACUUUGUAAUAUAGUUGAAGUCCAAAAAAUUAUUUAGAGAUUGAAUUUUUUCAUGAUUUUUUUCACGUAUGUUUGGGACGUUAAAAUAUGACUUUACACAAAAAAAAUAAAAAAUUUCAACCGUGGAUGAAUCAAUUAUGAAUUUUUAAAGCGCCAAAAACUCAAAAAACAGAACAACGAAAACUUCAAUCUAGAAAUUGAAUUUUGAGUUGAUUGUUUGCAGAGACAUAUGCAGAUAUACAUAAAAAAGAUCUACAAAGUUUGGUACCAUUUUAAAGACGUUUCAAUUUAUUUUUAUUUUCAACCAAAACGUGUGAAAUAACAAUUUUGUUCCGGGUAAACGUAUACUCAUAGAUCAGGUUCAGUUCUCUAAUUUUGUAGGCAUGGUUAAAAUUUCAUAAGAACAUUCACCAUUAAAAUUAAAUUUUGGAGUUUUUAAACGAGAUACGAAUUAAUUAUGAAUUGUUUAAGAAAUUUUAUAGUUAUGGGAAAUAAAAAUUUGUCCCUAGUCUGAAAAAAUAUAUAUUUUUUUUUUUUGGUGUAAAAUCAUGUUUUAACAUCCUAAAGAUGCUUUUGAUUUGUUCAAAAAAAACAUCCUAAAGAUGCAUGGAAAAAAAAUCAUUAAAAAAUUCAAUCUCUACACCAUUUUUUCGGACCAUGCCUAUAUUAUAGGGUCAAAAAUAAGAAGUAUCUCAAAUUACAAGUUUGGAAUAUGUAUUUUUUUAUUUUACAAUGUCAUUUUUCAGACAUCGCAUAUUUCACAGAGUCAAAAUUAAAUAAUUAACCAAAAAUAAUAAUAUAAAAAGUAAACUUUCUUUUAUAAUACAUAUCGAAGAGACAUGUGUCUAAAUACCACAUGUGCCCGCGGCAAGAUAGUGGGUAUACACCGUUGCGGGUAAGGUUCCCUCGGUUAUUUGAGUUGGCGGUGGAGAAGGAGACUAAGGUCGAGGAGAUGAGGAGGAGGGGGUGGGACGUUAAUGGCAGGGCGUGGGUGUGGAGACGUCGUUUGUUUGUUUCGAAGGAGGAGAGUGUGAGGGAGUGUGCAACUCUUUUAUGCAACAUUGUUUUGCAGGACACUGUUCAAGACUCUAGGAGGUGGUUACUAGAUCCGGUUCAAGGGUAUUCGGUGAAAGCAUCAUAUCGUUUUAUUACAGAAACAGGCGCUACUGCGGACAGGUCUUAGGUUGAUGUUGUUUGGCCAAAGCAUGUACCGUCAAAGGUGUCUUUAUUGAUGUGGCGUCUUCUCCGCAACCGGCUUCCUACUAAAGAUAAUUUGGUUCAACGGGGUAUUCUUAUUCCAAGAGAUGGCAUGUGUGUGGGUGGUUGUAAUGUUAUAGAAUCAGCUACUCACCUUUUUUUAGCAUUGUAAUACUUUUAGUGCCUUGUGGUCUAAUGUGAGGACUUGGUUGGGAAUUUAUUCGAUGUUUCCUAGUGAGCUUCGACAACAUUUUAUUCAGUUUACCAGGAUGUCUUGCUUGCCAAGGUCGGUACAUUUAUUCUUAACAGUUAUUUGGUUUGCUACUAUUUGGGUGACUUGGAAGGAACAAAAUUAUCGUAUGUUUCAAAACACAACAGCUACUUCAUCGAUCAUUCUUGAAAAAGUCAAGUUGGAUUCUUUUUUAUGGUUGAAAUCUAAACAGGUAGCAUCUUGUGCGAUUUGAAAACACCUUUUAAUGGGCAAUUUGACAUUGUAAUUUUGUAACUUUGGUGGUGUGUCUCUUUUGCGCAUCUUUGUGCGAUUGAAAACACCUUUAAGUAUAUAUAUAUAUCAUUUUGAUUUGUUAAAAAAAUAUAUAAUGGAUAGUUUGUUUUGAAUUUUUUUAAAGAAAAAAAUUUAUUUUAUAAACAAAAAACGACUUUUAUGAUUUGUAGUGUUUUUUUUUUUAAGAUAUUUCAUUUUGUUUUUUGCUAUGAACUUGAAGAAAUUAUAAAUAGUCAUUCAAAUUCAAGCAUUAUCACAUACACUUUAAAGGUCUUUAAAUGUUAUAAUGUGGCUUAGGUUAAGACAGAAUAUAUUUAAAAAAGUAGCCUAACAAAAGAUGUGGAUUUAGAUACAAGCUACAAAUCUUCAAGAACGAAAAAGUACUACCAAAAUUUUAUUUCUUGGUUUUCCUUUUUUUCUUUUUUUUGUGUUGACCAAUUUUUGAUAGUUUAGUCUGCAAUUAUUUUUUUCUUUUUUCAUUUUUUUUAUUAGGAAAAUAUUUAUUCCACUAUUCUUGAUAUGUCCGUCUGCAUAUGAUAAGAUAUUUAUUCCACUUUGAUCCUUGACAAAAUCCAAAUCAUUGCAGCAAGAUCAGCAGCUAUCUAUUAUGAUCUCAAAUAACACCUCAUCCAGGAAAAAAAGUGACAACCAACAAGCAUCAACAUCAAAAAAAAUUGACAACCUCGUCCAGGAAAAAAAAUCAUAUUGGAGCAAUAUUAAUUCAUAAACAACCCAACCUUCAUAUUGGAGCAAAAUUUGUCCAAAUUCAUAAACUCAUACCUGUGGUUUCUUAUACAAAUCAAUAUGUCUUAAUUUAAAGAAACUCAUGUUUACAGAUAAAUCACCUAAAAGAGUAAAGCUACUGAAUAACUCCAUUGGAUGUGCUCUUACAGUUUAUGCAAAAUGAUGCUUGCACCAUUUUUUGGCGUCAAAGUAAGCACAGUGGUGGGAACAUGCACAUAAUUUGGAGAAAGUUCGAAUGAGAAAUUCUGCAGCAGCAAUGAAAUUGCUAUCUUUGCUUCUAGUAAGGCAAAGUUUUGUCCAAGACAAAUUCUAGGACCCCAUCCAAAAGGGAAAUAAGAAACUUUUCCUUUUGUAGCCUUUGCAAUUCCUUCAGCAAACCUUUCAGGUUUGAACUCCUUUGCAUCAUCACCCCAUAGAUCAUGAUCUUGGUGAAUCAAUAGUAUUGGUAGGGAAAUUUGUGUUCCUUCAGGUAGCGAAACGUUUCCAAGUUUCAAAUCCUUUCGAAGAGCUCGGUUGAAGUAAAUUAAAGGUGGGAAUAACCUUAGUACCUCAUACAAAAUCAUGGUAACCUAUAAAAACAAAAACAAUUAUUAGAUAGUACCAAAAAGGAUUAAGUAUUAAUAAUCAUCAAAAUGAAAUUUGAACAAUACAUACAAUUUUAAGUUGAUUUAAUCCUUCGAUGUUUGGAUUUUGGUUCCCAAAAACUUGCAAAACUUCCUGCCUUGCACGUGCUUGCCAUUCAGGAUACCUGCCUAAUAACACCAUUGUCCAAACCAGCAAACUUGAGGUGGUCUCUUGCCCAGCAAUGUAAAACAAUUUGCAUUCAUCUAUCACAUCUUGGGUGGUCAUCCCAUUACUCUUACUAUUUCCAUGUCCUUGUUUUUCGGCAUGAUUUGAUUGCAAAAGAAUGCCUAAU
rnacentral:lncRNA from 1 species